rnacentral:rRNA from 1 species
UGGGGAAUAUUGGACAAUGGGGGAACCCUGAUCCAGCAAUGCCGCGUGUGUGAAGAAGGCCUGAGGGUUGUAAAGCUCUUUCAGACGGAAAGAAACGGUUACGGCUAAUACCCGUGACUAAUGACGGUACCGUAAGAAGAAGCACCGGCUAACUACGUGCCAGCAGCCGCGGUAAUACAGAGGGUGCGAGCGUUAAUCGGAAUUAUUGGGCGUAAAGGGUGCGUAGGUUGUUUGAUAAGAUAUAUGUGAAAUACCUGGGCUCAACCUGGGAAGGUCAUAUAAGACUGUCAUACUCGAGUAUGGGAGAGGGUAGAGGAAUUUCCGGUGUAGCGGUGAAAUGCGUAGAUAUCGGAAGGAACAUCGGUGGCGAAGGCGUCUACCUGGCCUAAUACUGACACUGAGGCACGAAAGCGUGGGGAGCAAACAGGAUUAGAUACCCCCGUAGUCCCUGAGCGGGCUGGCAAGGCGCAU